rnacentral:rRNA from 1 species
UACGUAGGGUGCGAGCGUUAAUCGGAAUUACUGGGCGUAAAGCGUGCGCAGGCGGUUCGUUAAGUCAGAUGUGAAAGCCCCGGGCUCAACCUGGGAACUGCAUUUGAAACUGGCGGGCUUGAGUGCGGCAGAGGGGGGUGGAAUUCCGCGUGUAGCAGUGAAAUGCGUAGAGAUGCGGAGGAACACCGAUGGCGAAGGCAGCCCCCUGGGCCAACACUGACGCUCAGGCACGAAAGCGUGGGGAGCAAACAGG